GACGAACCGUGCGAACGUUAUUCGGAAUCACUGGGCUUAAAGCGCGUGUAGGCGGAUGGCCGCGUCGAGUGCUGAAAGCCCCCGGCUCAACCGGGGGACCGGCCUCGAAACGGGCCGUCUGGAGGGGCGUAGGGGGAGCUGGAACUCACGGUGGAGCGGUGAAAUGCGUUGAGAUCGUGAGGAACGCCCGCGGCGAAAGCGAGCUCCUCGGACGCCUGCGUGACGCUGAGACGCGAAAGCCAGGGGAGCGAACGGG
rnacentral:rRNA from 1 species